CUGGAGGACUCUGGAGGUGCUGUUAGGGGCCACGUCAAUGUCAGAAGGGACUCCUCAGAACCAUAGGUGUGUAUAUUUACCACAUCGUCUCUGCCCAUUCUUCUGUCGAUGGACAUCUGGGCUCUAUACAGUUUCGCUGUUGUUGACAAUGCUGCUACCAACACUGGGCUGCGUGUUCCUCUUCGAAUCUACUCAACUACUUUUGUAUCCUCAGGACUGUUGUGCCCAAGAUUGCGAAUAUGAGAAACCACCGAGAAGUCGACACGAAUGCAAACACACGAGGGUUAGUUUACAAGAUCGAGCUUGUGUCCAAGUAUACCCGACACAGCAGAGUAGGGACU